GACGAACGCUGGCGGCGUGCCUAACACAUGCAAGUCGAACGGCGAAACAGGCCUUGCCUUGUGGCAAGGGAGCGAACGGGUGGGUAACGCGUGAGUAACCCGCCACGAAAAUCGGCACAACCCGAGGAAAAGCGGGCUAAACUCGGAUGUGCUCACUGGACUACGGUUGAGUGCGGAAAGGAAGCGUAGGCCUCCGUAUCGGGAGGGGCGAGGGGCCCAUUGGUUUGUUGGUGGGGUAACGGCUCACCAAGACCCCGAUGGGUAGCGGGUCUGAGAGGACGAUCAGCCACACUGGGACUGAGACACGGCCCAGACUCCUACGGGAGGGAGCAGUGGGGAAUGUUGCUCAAUGCGCGAAAGCGUGACGCAGCAACACCGCGUGGGUGAAGAAGGCCUUCGGGUUGUAAACCCCUUUUGGGGGGGACGAAGGGGAGGCGGUGAAUAGCCGGCGGUACUGACGGUACCGCCAGAAGAAGCACCGGCUAACUACGUG
rnacentral:rRNA from 1 species